GACGAACGCUGGCGGCGUGCCUAAUACAUGCAAGUAGAACGCAGUUGCGAACGGGUGAGUAACGCGUAGGUAACUGCCUCAUAGCGGGGGAUAACUAUUGGAAACGAUAGCUAAUACCGCAUACUGUGAGAUGGACCUGCUUGGUAUUAGCUAGUUGGCGCGGUAAAGGCUCACCAAGGCGACGAUACAUAGCAGACCUGCGCGGGUUGUCUGCCAAACUGGGACUGGAGCACGGCCCAGACUCCUCCGGGAGGCAGCAGUGGGGAAUCUUCGGCAAUGGACGAAAGUCUGACCGAGCAACGCCGCGUGAGUGAAGAAGGUUUUCGGAUCGUAAAACUCUGUUGUUAGAGGAGCGGUAUCUAACCAGAGAGCCACGGCUAACUACGUGCCAGCAGCCGCGGUAAUAC
rnacentral:rRNA from 1 species